CACAAUUCCGAUGGGAGGAUGGUUCAAUAAUUUCCUUGAGUAUCGCACUGGCUUCACCUUGUGAUCGUUCCAAACAAAACAGGCCGACCACUCUGUGUUCAACGGAUCCAUCUUGGAGGCUGGUUGUGGAGGAGUCACAUGUUGCAAUGUAAGUUUCACACCAAGGAGGGCAGAGAAUAGCUCACCUGUUCAAAUGAGCAGGGUUGUGGACCAUGUAAUUAAAAACAUCAGUGUAGAAUAGCGCCUUUGGACCCAUGGAGUGGCCUCAAGUUCGGCAGGUGUCUUGUCACACAUAACGUUUUCGUUGUGCCUCUGGACUCGUGGAGUGGCAAAAGAUGCUGCCUGACUCCUGAGUUCCUCCAGCAUAUUAUGUGUGUGACUAAAGAAUUAGACAAUAAGACCAUAAGGUUUCGGAGCAGAAUUAGGCCAUUUGACCCAUCAUGGCUGUGGUGAACUACAUAU